GGGGCCGUAAAUGGUUUCGACGGGGAUCGCUGAAGCCGGAUAAGCGAGCCGAAGCCCCGCACUUCGUUAAAAGCGGGAAUUAAAAAAUAACUGACGAAUCUAAUUUCGUACCCGUCGCUGCUUAAGCAGUGACCGUCCGUCCCCGGUUGCCCACGACCGGGAUCCCGGGCGUCAUCAAUGUGGGGAACCAGCCUGCAUAAGCUUUGCCGCAGGUGGGAUCUUAUGAAGCUACCAAAGUCCUGACCCUGCCGUUGGGGGCUGGAUGGAGGGAAUGGUAAAACACCGGCUACGCUCGUAGAAAGUCUUGUGGACGGAUUUUCGGACAGGAGUUCGACUCUCCUCGGCUCCACCA
rnacentral:tmRNA from 1 species